rnacentral:rRNA from 1 species
CAGCCGCCGCGGGAACACGUAGGGGGCAAGCGUUAUCCGGAAUUACUGGGUGUAAAGGGAGCGUAGACGGUUAAACAAGUCUGAAGUGAAAUGCCGGGGCUCAACCCCGGAGCUGCUUUGGGAACUGUAGAACUGGAGUGUCGGAGGGGUAAGCGGAAUUCCCAGUGUAGCGGUGAACUGCGUAGAUAUUGGGAGGAACACCGGCGGCGAAGGCGGCUUACUGGACGACAACUGACGUUGAGGCUCGAAGGCGUGGGUAGCAAACAGGAUUAGAUACCCCUGUAGUCCCUGUCUCUUAUAC